GAUGAAGAACGCAGCGAAUUGCGAUAAGUAAUGUGAAUUGCAGAAUUCAGUGAAUCAUCGAGUCUUUGAACGCACAUUGCGCCCCCUGGUAUUCCGGGGGGCAUGCCUGUCCGAGCGUCAUUGCUGCCCUCAAGCACGGCUUGUGUGUUGGGUCUCCGUCCUCCUCCCGGGGGACGGGCCCGAAAGGCAGCGGCGGCACCGCGUCCGGUCCUCGAGCGUAUGGGGCUUCGUCACCCGCUCUUGUAGGCCCGGCCGGCGCUUGCCGACACAUCAAUCUUUUUUCCAGGUUGACCUCGGAUCAGGUAGGGAUACCCGCUGAACUUAAGCAUAUCAAUAAGCGGAGGA
rnacentral:misc_RNA from 1 species